rnacentral:rRNA from 1 species
UGCGUAGGCGGCUCGCCAAGUGCUUUGUGAAAUCCCACAGCUCAACUGUGGAACAGCAGGGCAAACUGGCGAGCUUGAGGCAGGUAGGGGCCGGAAGAACAGUUGGUGGAGCGGUGAAAUGCGUAGAUAUCAACUGGAAUGCCGAUGGGGAAGCCGUCCGGCUGGGCCUGUCCUGACGCUGAGGCACGAAAGCGUGGGGAGCAAACA